rnacentral:rRNA from 1 species
AGAGAGAGACAUGCGCGCAUAUCAAUAAGCGGAGGAAAAGAAACUAACAAGGAUUCCCCUAGUAACGGCGAGUGAAGCGGGAAGAGCUCAAAUUUGAAAUCUUAAAGGGUUUCCCUUUACGAAUUGUAGUUUAAAGAAGUGUUUUCUGUUGAGGUUUUGGUAAAAGUUCUUUGGAAUAGGACAUCAUAGAGGGUGAGAAUCCCGUAUUUGACCUUUACUUUCAACUUUGUGAUACACUUUCAAAGAGUCGGAUUGCUUGGGAAUGCAGUCCAAAAUGGGUGGUAAAUUUCAUCUAAAGCUAAAUAUUGGCGAGAGACCGAUAGCGAACAAGUACCGUGAGGGAAAGAUGAAAAGAACUUUGAAAAGAGAGUUAAACAGUACGUGAAAUUGUCAAAAGGGAAGCGUUUGACACCAGUGUUGUUUUUCUGAAAAUCAAUUAAAGAACUGUUUAUGCUAAGUUGUUUAGACUUUAUCAGCUAUCUGUUUAGUUUUGAGCUUUUCUUUAAUGCACUUUUCAGUUAACAAGUCAACAUCAAUUUCUUUUGCUGUAAAAAAGCUUGAGGAAGGUGGCUUGAGAUUCGUCUUAAGUGUUUAUAGCCUCUUGCCUAUGCAGUCGGAGAGAUUGAGGUCUGCAGCGUAGAUCCUUCGGGGCUAAAUGCAUUUGUGCUAAGUUAUAGCAUUUUAUAGACAACUUGUUGACUGAUGAUUUGUCUUGUAGCUUACUCGCUUAUGUUAUUUUACCUACGCUUAGGAUGUUGACGCAUGAGAUAUACG